GAAAUGCGAUAAGUAGUGUGAAUUGCAGAAUUCAGUGAAUCAUCGAAUCUUUGAACGCACAUUGCGGCCAUAGGUAUUCCUUUGGCCAUGCCUGUUCGAGCGUCAUUUACACCCUCAAGCCUAGCUUGGUGUUGGGCGCCUGUCCCGCCGUUUUCGCGCGCGGACUCGCCUCAAAGUCAUUGGCGGCGGUCGUGCCGGCCCCCUCGCGCAGCACAUUUGCGCUUCUCGGAGGCCCGGCGGAUCCGCGCUCCAGCAAGACCUUUCACGACUUGACCUCGGAUCAGGUAGGGAUACCCGCUGAACUUAA
rnacentral:misc_RNA from 1 species